AGCAGCCGCGGUAAUUCCAGCUCCAAUAGCGUAUAUUAAAGUUGUUGCAGUUAAAAAGCCCGUAGUUGAAUUUCGGGAUCAGUUUGUUGGUCGUGCUUCGGUACGUACUAGCAUUAUUGGUUUCUCCCUUCUGACGAACUACGAUGUCAUUAAUUUGGUGUCAUGGGAAAUCAGGACUGUUACUUUGAAAAAAUUAGAGUGUUUAAAGCAAGCUCGCGCUUGAAUACAUUAGCAUGGAAUAAUGAAAUAGGACGUUUGAUUCUAUUUUGUUGGUUUCUAGGAUCGACGUAAUGAUUAAUAGGGAUAGUUGGGGGCAUUAGUAUUCAAUUGUCAGAGGUGAAAUUCUUGGAUUUAUUGAAGACUAACUACUGCGAAAGCAUUUGCCAAGGAUGUCUUCAUUAAUCAAGAACGAAAGUUAGGGGAUCGAAGACGAUCAGAUACCGUCGUAGUCUUAACCAUAAACUAUGCCGACUAGGGAUCGGAUGAUGUUAAUUUUUAAUGA
rnacentral:rRNA from 1 species